UACGGAGGGUGCAAGCGUUAUCCGGAUUCACUGGGCGUAAAGGGUGCGUAGGUGGUUAGGUAAGUCCGAUGUGAAAUCUCCAGGCUCAACCUGGAAAUGGCAUUGGAUACUAUCUAGCUUGAGGAGUGGAGGGGGGACUGGAAUUCUCGGUGUAGCAGUGAAAUGCGUAGAUAUCGAGAGGAACACCAGUGGCGAAGGCGAGUCCCUGGACACUUCCUGACACUGGAGGCACGAAAGCUAGGGGAGCAAACAGG
rnacentral:rRNA from 1 species